GCUACUUGUGGAGAUGUCUGCUUACUUGCUCGAUACUGAAGGAACUCAUUAUACUCCCUUCAGAUAAAGAAAAUCCUUGGUUACCUGUAGUCUCAGUCUGAGCAACAUAAGCAUUUUUGGGUGGCUGGCCAUGUAAAGAAUAACACACGUCACGAGUGUUUCCAAGUUUAUGACAAUAAGAGCACUUGGGUCUAGAUCUUCCAAAACGACCUCCUCCUCGUCU
rnacentral:lncRNA from 1 species